CAAAUGACUGCAGCACUUGACCCUAUGACACUAAUCCAAGGAUUACUAAAGAACUAGGGUAUGGGAUAAAUUCUCCUGAGCGCACUAGAGUGAUUACAGAAAGACAACGACAAGCUCAGAUCCUUUAACUGUCAGUCAAGUCAAGGUGAGUGGAGGAAGAAAGAAACAAGAAAUAUGGAGAAGGGGCAACCAGAAAUGCAAUUGAAGAAACAUGAGAGAGCUCAACAAGAGGUCACCAACAGUGAAAACACCACAGAGACACCUUGAAAGAAUAUUGAUGACCUUAGCAGAUCACAGAGGACUGGAGACUGAAGACAGAUUUUAACAGGAAGAAAAAAAUCUGCACUAACUUGUAAGGUGAAGAGAAGGAAUCAACAAACAGGAAGAAAUGAAUGUAUAGGAAAGCAAGAUAUGCAUGAUGAAGAAAAGUCCUAGAUAAGACUAAGUGAUGGACAGUACAGGAGAAGGGAAAAAGAAGGAAAAGCAGACACAGUGAGGCUUCAGACUCCUUGGAGCUCAGAUCAAAUGUAUCAGAUCCGACAAGCCUGAGGCCAGCCCUGAAGGACAGAGACAAUACGAUGGUGCAGCCUAAUAAAUG